UCACUGCAAAAAAAUGAAGAGUUCUAGCACUAUUACUGCAUUUAGUCAUUUCCACUAUUUUCAGAUCAACUUUUUCCUCCAAGAAAGAAGCGGGAAGGUGCACAGGAACAGUUCCCCUUAUAAUUCUACAAGCUGUAAUUGAUAUACACUGAGCUCGAUCCUUAGGUGGCAUAAAUGGACAUUCUCCAUUGAAAUCAGUUUAUGCCCGCUGAGGAUCUGGCCCUCCCAGAAUGAUUACAUGUCAGAUUAAAUGGAGCUCAGCUAGAGAAGAGCAGUGUUUUUUGUUUUGUUUUGUUUUUUGUUUUUUAAGAACUGGUCACAUCUCACUUCUCAGUUCACAUACCUACACAUUCUCUAACAAUCUUCUUUCACUCACAAAAAAGGCAGUUUGAGUUUAUUUGAAUAGUCCUGUUUCUUUGUUGUAGGCUCAAGACCCCAAGCUUUCCAGGUGCUUGAUAGCACUUCAUGUACAAGAUUCUGAUGAGGAUAGAAGACAACCCAAUCUCUGUCUUUUCAACCUUGAGUUUGAUAACAUAACUAGCCAAAGCUGCCACUGAACUCCAAGGACAAAGGAUAUCCACAAUGCUCAGGAAAGGACAACCUUUCAGAAUUGUCCUCCAACUAUCCUGGAGGAAAAUAGUGGAGCAACAGCAGGAGAGUGCCAAACAUCAAUUAGGUGGUUCAUCUUGAACAGAGGCCCUGAGGUGGUUCCAGUAGCAUCCACUAUGUGGCAGCUUCUGUACAAACAUGAAAGAAAGUAUGAUUAUUACCCCCGAAGAGCUUACACUGUAG